rnacentral:rRNA from 1 species
CAGUAGGGAAUCUUCCACAAUGGACGAAAGUCUGAUGGAGCAACGCCGCGUGAGUGAUGAAGGAUUUCGGUUCGUAAAACUCUGUUGCAAGGGAAGAACAAGUAGCGUAGUAACUGGCGCUACCUUGACGGUACCUUGUUAGAAAGCCACGGCUAACUACGUG